rnacentral:rRNA from 1 species
UACGGAGGGAGCAAGCGUUACUCGGAAUUAUUGGGCGUAAAGGGCGCGUAGGCGAUCCGACAAGUCUGGGGUGAAAGCCCACAUGUUAACUGUGGAAGUGCAUUAGAAACUGUUGGAUUUGAGUUCAGGAGAGGAAAGCAGAAUUCCCGGUGUAGCGGUGAAAUGCGUAGAGAUCGGGAGGAAUACCAGUGGCGAAGGCGGCUUUCUGGACUGACACUGACGCUGAGGCGCGAAAGCCAGGGGAGCAAACGGG